rnacentral:rRNA from 1 species
GUGUCAGCAGCCGCGGUAAGACGAACCGUGCGAACGUUAUUCGGAAUCACUGGGCUUAAAGCGCGUGUAGGCGGAUCGCCGCGUCGGACGCUGAAAGCCCCCGGCUCAACCGGGGGACCGGCGCCGAUACGGGUGAUCUGGAGGGGCGUAGGGGGAGCUGGAACUCACGGUGGAGCGGUGAAAUGCGUUGAGAUCGUGAGGAACGCCCGCGGCGAAAGCGAGCUCCUGGACGCCUACUGACGCUGAGACGCGAAAGCCAGGGGAGCGAACGGGAUUAGAUACCCCGGUAGUCCUGGCCGUAAACCAUGGGCACUGGGUAGGGGGCUCGCCGAUGGGCCCCCUGCCGCAGCGAAAGCGUGAAGUGCCCCGCCUGGGGAGUAUGGCCGCAAGGCUGAAACUUAAAUGAAUUGGCGGGG